rnacentral:piRNA from 1 species
UUAACCAAAUCAAGCUGGAGUGG